rnacentral:rRNA from 1 species
UAGCAUAUGCUUGACUUGGAGAUUAAGCCAUGCAUGUCUAAGUAUAAGUUAUAUAUGGCAAAACUGCGAAUGGCUCAUUAAAACAGUUAUAAUUUAUUUGAUGAUUGUUUUACAUGGAUAACCGUGGGAAACUGGGGCUAAUACAUGCGAAAAAGCCGCGAGGCUGUAUUUAUUAGUUUCAAAUCAAUAUUACUCCGUAAUUUUGUGAGGAAUCAUAAUAACUAAUCGGAGCGUAGCGAUACGCCUCAUCAUUCAAGUUUCUACCCUAUCAGCUCUCGAUGGUAGUGUAUUGGACUACCAUGGCAAUAACGGGUAACGGGGAAUUGGGGUUCGAUUCCGGAGAAGGAGCCUGAGAAACGGCUACUAUUUCUAAGGAAGGCAGCAGGCGCGUAAAUUACCCAAUCCUGACUCAGGGAGGUAGUUAAUAGAAAUAACUUGAUCGGCUCAUUGAGUAUUGAUCGUGUAAUGAACCAAAUGUAGAAAACUUGGUGAAUCCUAUU